ensembl:lncRNA
AAAAAGCUCACUUUUAAACCAUUUUGCAACGUCUUUUCAACCAAAAAAAGGCUCCCUGGGGACUUAUAAGAAGUCCUCCCUUCUUGGUGAAAGUAUAGCAACUACUCCGAUACAACAUGUCAGAAAGAUUACACAUGCGUUGGGUUUAUAUGAAUGACACUCACCACCCAACAAGGCGGAGACGACCGUCGCGUAGAAGAGCAACAUGUCCUGCAGAAUGAGGACAGGUUGUGCGUGUGAACGUGACCUCACGUACACUUCUCAAAAUUACUUAAAAAAGGGUCUCACUGUACAAUAAUUUCACGCCGUGUUUCGGUCGAGUUUGUUUUCUCGAGGAAGAACUGCAAUGGGCGGUAGUGAUGUGUCGUUCGUGAACGAUCCGUUCAUUUUGAACGAAUCCUUACAAGGAUUCGAGAGUUACGAGUCCUCUCAAAAAAAGAUUAGUUCAUUUUCUCGUGUCCACGCAUCGGGACUUGCAUAGGCUCAGCCAAGGAAACAGAAAUGAUUCGUUGAAUGCACGUCACGUGGUAAAUGAUCCUUCUGCCAACCAAGUGGUACCAGUGCUGAGCCGAUGCAGGUCACGUGAAAAAUGAACGAUGAACGAAUCAUUGACCCGAAGACUCGGUUGGCAGAUGAACGAAACAUUGACCCGAAGACACGGUCGGGAGGUGAACGAUUCGUUCAUCUGCCGGAUACAGAUCUUUAGAUCGUUUUUCACGUGACCUGCAUUGGUUUAGUAGAGGAAACAGUUACAUUAUUCCCUUUCACGUGACCGCUGUUUUUAGUUUUAAACGUGAAUUAUAUUCGUUCACAAGUCAUAAUGACUGGUUUUGUUAUUUUCACUUUACAUUUACACUUACAGUUUAGUGCAGUGUAAUAGUUAUGACGUGAUAAUUGAAUGCUAGUGUGAAAAUAAAUGAUCACUUCAAAUCAUCCAGACUGUAAUGAUACAUUAUUUUAAUGCAGGAAUUUAUCUUACCACUGACUCGAAAAAAGAUUUGUUCAUUUUUACUAAACGAGAUUCAAAGAUCCGAAUCGGUAAAAUGAUCCGAACUUCCCAUCACUACUAAUGGGCGGGGCUUCCGCGGUCCAGUUUAACAUAAAACCACUAAAACCAGUUGUGACGCUGUUUGCACACAAACCGACGCGUUGAUACGCUGAAUACAUGCGGAUUAAUGUGUCUAUGAUAACACAUAUUCUAUUGCAUUGUUUUAACUGAAGUAAUGUUUUGAUCUAAAAUCAUCUAUACAUUGAGAAUGAAUGUAGAAAUGACAGUACUUUCUUAAUAAAAUACUUUUUUUUGGCAAAUGACCGAGAAGGUGUUCGGUGUCCAGCCCACCGGGAGGAUCCCACGUAGUAACCGGGCACUCUCUUGCGCCAAUGGCGGACUUACACCCAGGAUCCGACCAACGUAACGGAGGCAUGUGACGCAUCUUGCGUAGGAGCUGCACAGAAUACAGGGCACCAUUUCCUUAAAUAAACCAAGCGAACCCACUGCACAUGCGCGCUCUGCAGAGGACGUUGUUAUCUCCUCGUCCCAUAAUCGCUCGCAGGUACCCAGCGGUGGAUGUACUGUAUUCUCCACGCAUCCAGGUGAAGAUGUCCUACAGUGCCAUGCUCGCCUUCCUUUCGGCCCUUCCUAUCUCUCUGGCAUGGGAUGCAUCAAGUAUAAGAGAAGAAGCCCAGAUUGUGUGUGCUGGGAGGGAAUUCCGUCUGCCGGUUUACUCCUCAUCCAGAAUGGUGACUUUUACACCAAACCCCGAGGGGCCACGCCGCGUCCUGCUGGACAAAACCAUUGUGAAGGACCCGCGGUUUGAGUGGACCAGAGACAGGAUGCUGGUUCUGAGAGAAGUGACUCACGAUGAUGAGGGGCUUUACGCCAUCAAACUGGUCUCUGGAUUCACCUACGAGGCCGUUCGUUUGAUUGUUUCAGAAUGCAUCAAGUCCUACCACGGAAAAUACGGCGAUAAGUUUGAGCACAGCAUCCCCGAAAACGGCUCCCUGCUGGAGUUCUCUCCCCGGGGCGCUCCGCCGGAGGCCAUGCCGGUCCUUCUGUGGAACCGGACCGACCCCGUGACCAGCGAUGCCGGCCGUGGCCGGCUGCGCGCGGGGAAAGUGUGGGUGGCUGAGAGGGUGACGCAAGCGGACCAGGGCAACUACACUGUGAGGGACAGCAAGGGGAGGGUCCUGCACCGCAGCUCCCUCAGCGUCCGCGAGCACUCCUUCAAUGUCACCCGCUUUACCAAGGAGUCUCUAAACCUGCCCCUCUUUCUUCCUGUCCCGCAUGUCCACCUCAUUUUUACCCCUACCCGAUUCCUUGACGAAUCCUCCCCGGGCCAUUUUGACCCCAAACCCCCCCGUGGUCCAGUGCAGCUGAUCCGUGAGGGCCACAUACUGGACCACGACAUGCGCUACAGGGGCCUCAUCUCGCUGGUCAGGAAUGGCAGCAUCAACGAGGUCGCCAUAGUGAGGCUGAAUUCAAGGCACGAUGGGUUUUAUGAAAUCAGGGACGUGGUCGGCAACCUGGUAUCCUCCACCUGGCUGCAGGUGAUUGAAAAGGGAGGCAGAUGGCGAGCGCUUCUCAGAUCCAUCACCGUCCCUUCUGGCUUGUUCGUGUCGCUGGUCGGUUUCAUCCUGUUCAUGAGGCGAUAUCCAAACUGCAGCCUGUCGCAGCUCGUCGCUGUCCUCAGAAUAAACCGCACGCCUCCAGCCAACCCUCCGAGGGUCAACAUCCAGGAUUACAGCCAGCCCAGCCCUCGGCCCUCCGGCUACCACGCGCACGCUGACCCGCCUGUAACGCCAAGAAAAUGCACCCCCAGCGCCAGUCCUACUCACGCCGGUUACUGUCCAGUUAUGGCAGGAACCGCCGAGAAUCAGGAAGCAAACACGUCGGCAGCAACGAGCUCCCCUCGUCCUCGUCGUCAUUCAACCUCGGAGCCGGACUCAUCUCACUACAAUGAGGAAGAGAGAAGGAUUUCCUUUUUGAUGCCCGGGGCUUCGGACUGUCUCCACUCCUCUGAAGACUGUGUUAAAUUCCAGAUAAAAAAAGAUGGGGAUAAUGGCAGGAGGAGCACGUCACGAGGUUACUUUUCCACUCUGCCACUAGACAGGGACACCUCUGAAUCCUGCAGUGUUUACACUUCAGAAAAACUCAACUUCUUAUAAAACACAGAACUGGAGCUGAAGGAAGAACAACAAGAAGAAAGAAGAAGAACAACAAGAUAUGGAGCAACUACAGUAUUGGAUUAUGAAAAUAAAUAACCCACCUGUGCCUUUAUGCAUAUUAGCCUAAUUUGAAUGGUAUGAUAAUUGCAUGCCCUUUUUUCAUGUUUGAGCAUUAGCUGAUCUGUCUCCUAUUUCACAUUUCUUGACGCUGAGGAUGGUGCUCCUGAAAUAUCCUGCUGUUACCUACCUCCAGACCCUCAGGACCAGUAUGAUCUGCACUGUAUUUGCUGAGUGUUGGUACGAGUGUGCUUGUGAUGUGAUGUCUAGGGCUACAUAGAAAUAAGAGUUGCGAUUAUUCAAAGGUUUACAAAAGGGAAUUCUAAAGUACUGUACAGUGAUAGAGAGAUUGUUUAUGUCUUUUUCCAUCCACCAUUUCCAAAUGCAACAACAAUUAAUAUCAUGUUCAAUGUCUGCUCAGCGGUUCAGUGGUUUUUCUGUGAUAGUGUAUUAACCCUCAAGGUAAUUGUAGUAAUAGCUUUGUGAAUUGUAACAUGAUCUACCACAUAUUCCAAUAGCCUGUUGUUCUAUAAACUCUGUGUAUGGGAUAAUAUCAUCACCAAAGCUUUCUAUUGACAAGAGAUUAGAGACUUUGGCUUGUGACAUUUUUGAACAUUCAAAACGUUACCUCUUAGACAAUAAAUUCAUGUUUAACACACA